UACGUAGGGGGCUAGCGUUGUCCGGAUUUAUUGGGCGUAAAGAGCGUGUAGGCGGCCCGGUAGGUCUGGUGUGAAAACUCGAGGCUUAACCUUGAGAUGUCAUCGGAAACCAUUUGGCUAGAGUCCGGAAGAGGAAAGUGGAAUUCCUGGUGUAGCGGUGAAAUGCGUAGAUAUCUGGAGGAACACCGGUGGCGAAGGCGGCAUCCUGGACCGACAUUGACGCUGAGGCGCGAAAGCCAGGGGAGCAAACGGG
rnacentral:rRNA from 1 species